UUACAGCCAUAUCAUGUUGAAACAUUAGUUCUCAUAUGAUCACCAAAGUUAAGCAACAUCAAGACUGGUCAGUACCUAGAUGGAUGAUCGCUUGAGAAUACUAGGUGCUGUAA